ACGGGAGGCAGCAGUGGGGAAUAUUGCACAAUGGGGGGAACCCUGAUGCAGCGAUGCCGCGUGGAGGAAGAAGGUUUUCGGAUUGUAAACUCCUGUCUUCAGGGACGAUAAUGACGGUACCUUAGGAGGAAGCUCCGGCUACCUACGUGCCAGCAGCCGCGGUAGUACGUAGGGAGCGAGCGUUGUCCGGAAUUACUGGGUGUAAAGGGUGCGUAGGCGGGAUGGCAAGUCAGAUGUGAAAACUAUGGGCUUAACCCAUAGACUGCAUUUGAAACUGUCGUUCUUGAGUGAAGUAGAGGUAAGCGGAAUUCCUGGUGUAGCGGUGAAAUGCGUAGAUAUCAGGAGGAACAUCGGUGGCGAAGGCGGCUUACUGGGCUUUUACUGACGCUGAGGCUCGAAAGCGUGGGGAGCAAACAGGAUUAGAUACCCUGGUA
rnacentral:rRNA from 1 species